GGCGCUGAGCCAUGGGCAUCUCUCGGAACAACUGGCACAAGCGCCACAAGACCGGGGGCAAGAGAAAGCCCUAUCACAAGAAGCGAAAAUAUGAGCUGGGACGCCCUGCUGCCAACACUAAGAUUGGCCUGCGCUGCAUACACACAGUCCGUGUGCGUGGAGGCAACAAGAAGUACCGUGCAUUGAGGCUGGAUGUGGGGAACUUCUCCUGGGGCUCCGAGUGUUGUACUCGCAAAACAAGGAUUACUGAUGUGGUCUACAAUGCAUCCAACAACGAACUGGUCCGCACCAAGACCCUAGUAAAGAACUGCAUCGUGCUCAUUGACAGCACACCGUACCGACAGUGG